CUCUGAGUGGCAGCUCUUACUGCCUGGGAACAGACUCAUGUGGCCCAGUCAGGAGGAUGACAGCUCUGCACCACCGCAGGGAGUUCCUCUGGGGCCCAGUCCGAAGCACCGGUCUGGCAGCUGCGACGUACCAAUGCUUCCUGCUCCCUACUGAUGUCACUUGGAGAUCUGAUUGUCAACAUCACAAAAACAGCACCAGGAAAAGCCACAAGCCCCGAACGACUGAAAGUUGGAGGAUUUCUUUUCAGGAUGUUCAUUUUUCACUGGUUUAUCAGUCUCUGCUUUUAUGGAUCACUGGGGAUAUAAGGACGAGUUCAGCUCCCAUCAUCCUUCUCCGUUUAGCUGAUAGAAUUGAUAGUUGGAUGCACCAUGAACAAAUAUGUAGGAUAAAUUACCUCCAGCAAGCUGCCAAAGACGCAGUCCAUAUCCAAGUGGUCUAUAAAUGCAAAGAGAACAACACAGUGUCUCUCCUUCUGCAUCUGAUGGUUCAACAGCUUAUGAUCAGAUAUGUUCAAACAUGAGAGGUCUUUAGCUGCCCUUUAAUAAUCAUGGAGAUGGCCACAUUCAACCCUCCAGCGACUCUACUGGAUUAGGUGGAGUUCACAGCAGAGAUGGAUUUGACCUAGUAAGUAUAGCAGUGGUCUUUUGGGUUUGCUUUACAUAGCACGCAAAGAAGCUCUUCAAAGGUUUGUGGUGCAACAUGACCUUGACUUCAACUCUCAUUUUAAUGGCUACUUGGAAGAUGACAAAGACCACACUCUUUGGGAGAUUGCCGUAGGGUGAGAAGCUUCAAAACCACAUGGCCAAAUCUGAGCGUAAGUGAAGUCUGUGCAGCCCACACAACUGCAGUGGCAGCUGUCGGAAGUAUGCCAGAGAAAGCCAUGCUCCUGGCUGACAACUGGAGGGCAGGGAGUCUGAAGCACAACUUAAAGCAAUAAUGUUCCUUUGAUUGGUAUCCAAAAUUGGUGACUGCUUCCUUUCAGGAUGAGCAUGCUGUGCCUAGAGAGAUGCUGAUAAUCUCUUGAAACAACUGCAGUCCGCAUGGAUUGAUGGGCUGAUAGGCACUGUGAUCCAUACGCUGUAGUACUUCAAGCACUUGGUUUUGAUGAAUUUGGGUGUUUCCCUUGUUUGAGGGAGGAGCCAGUCAUUUUGUAAUGAUUUCCUGGCCACUGAGCGGUGUGCUUUGAAGCAGCAAAAAUUCACUCUUAACACAUUUUCAGAAGGAAUUUUCUCCCUGCAUUGACCAGGAUCACACGUCAUCCCUCUCUGCCUCAGUCUGUCCUCAUAAUCAAGUUCACUCUCAGUAGCGCGUAUUUUAUUAAAUUUAGUUGUGAGAAUGUCACCAAUUAUGAAGGAGAAAGCAAGAGUGAAGGUUAGGGGGGAAAGGUGAAGGUUAAAUUCAGACAUUCAUGAGUUUAUGGGGCAGUUUGUCCUCAAAUCAAAGCCAGGCAUUCAUGUCAAGCUACAUAAACAGGAACGAAUGUUCGUGUGAAACUUGCUAAGGAAGCAAAAACCCAUAAGAAUAUUUGCCACCAAUGCUUUCUUCUGCCUUUCCCUCCUCUUGGCCCAAAGAAAGGAGAUUGCUCAGAGCAUGUUGCUAUCCCAGACAGUGCAAUCAUUCUGAAGACCCCAAAAAAAUCCCUGCUAGAUGACACACGUUCAUGGCCAGCACCCUGCUGAGCGCAGUCUGCAGACUGACAGGAGCAGGAUCCCAGAGCAGAGGUGUGUGCCCAGUGCUGGGAUCACGAGGGCAUCUCCUAGUCUUUCCUGAGGUGUCCAAGGACGGUUUUUCUCAGUGUUGCACCCUGUAAAAUGUUCAGUUGAAGGCAGAAUUUUGGGAAGGGAUGGGAAAACUGGUGAGAACAUUUUUUAGAGAGCAAACGAUCCUCACAUCCCCAGCUACCUUCUAUUUACCAAACAGAAGUUUCCCUGUGUGAUACAUUUCUUAAAUUAUAGGUUUCCCAUUUCCUGGCAUCCUAAUAAAGUCUAGAUGAAUGAUGAGAGAGUCUGCA
rnacentral:lncRNA from 1 species